rnacentral:rRNA from 1 species
AACCAGGACCUGCGGCAUACCUUACAGAGUCACCCCUACCCACACCUUCGUGAUAAGUGGAUCACGGGUGCGUAACGCGUGGGAACCUGCCCUUAGGUUCGGAAUAACUCCCCAACACGGGUGCUAAUACCCGAUAAUGUCUUCGGACCACAGGUUUAUCGCCUUUGGAUGGGCCCGCGUUGUAUUAGCUAGUUGGUAGGGUAAAAGCCUACCCAGGCGACGAUCCAUAGCUGGUCUGAGAGGAUGAUCAGACACACUGGGACUGAGACACGGCCCAGACUCCUACGGGCGGCAGCAGUGGGGAAUAUUGGACAAUGGGCGAAAGCCUGAUCCAGCAAUGCCGCGUGAGUGAUGAAGGCCUUAGGGUUGUAACGCUCUUUUACCCGGGAUGAUAAUGCCAGUACCGGGAGAAUAGGCCACGGCUAACUCCGUG